rnacentral:tRNA from 1 species
GUGGUUGUGGCUCAGCGGUAGAGCGCUCGCCUAGCAUGUGCAAGACCCUGGGUUCGAUCCUCAGCACCACA